GACAGAGGCCUCAAGCGUUAGGCGGAAUCACUGGGCUUAAAGCGUGUGUAGGCGGGCCCGUCAGUACCUUGUGAAAUCCCACGGCUCAACCGUGGAACCGCUGGGUAUACUGCGGGUCUUGGGCCGACUAGGGGCAGCCGGAACAAGCGGUGGAGCGGUGAAAUGCGUAGAUAUCGCUUGGAACGCCGAAGGUGAAAACAGGCUGCUGGGGUCGCGCCGACGCUGAGACACGAAAGCCAGGGGAGCAAACGGG
rnacentral:rRNA from 1 species